AUUCAAUCAUUUACUUGUAAAUUUGGUCUGGUCAGUAAAAGAAUGCUACUUUGUUUAAUUUGCUUGAUGAAAUAAGAUUCUCCAAGUAAAGGAGUAGGAUUUCAUGAGUUGUGUUGAUAAAAGUCACUCUCUUGAGCAAGACUUAAUUGUGGAAAGAUCAAAAUAUUGUUUGUCUAUUUUCUGGUUACUUGUGAAAAGGUUGAGAGAAUAAUUUAUCCACUUUUUUCUCAAUAGAGCUGCUAAGUAACUUUGUGUCUCUUUCCGUGUCAUUGUGAUAGCACCUGUAUUGCAUUGAAUCUUCAUUUGUUACAUCGAUCCUUCAUAUGCAUGAGUGCUCGACACAUAUGGUUGGAGAUGGGUGUGAUAUGGGUUUGAAUACUUCCUGUGGAUCAUCAAAAGAGCUAGAUUUACUUGCAUUGGAUACCUAUGGGCGCCCCUGUUGGAUAUGUUGCUGAGACAAGCCCAAUAAAAUGGAACAGUACUAUGAUUGUUGCAAGACCAAAAUUUUAUCCUACUUUUGAGUCGGACAGGAUAGAACUUUAACUUGCAUAACAUCAAGGUGAUGAACCUGUAUGCAUGGAUGAAUACUAAGACCUACACUCCAACAUCAUACAUCUGAUUUCAGUCAUGGAGUUCUUUUCCCUUUCUUAAGGCCCUGAAAUCUUUUCACUUCUCAUUGAUGCGUAGUUUUUUUCUUUCUUGUCUUCAGUUAUAAGUGGUUAACAUCCAUUUCUGGCAAUCAACUCACAGAGAUUUUUCCUGAA